rfam:Biomphalaria glabrata isolate BB02 unplaced genomic scaffold LGTN_random_Scaffold191, whole genome shotgun sequence.
GGAUUGUUAGCUCAGUUGGGAGAGCAGGUGCCUUACAAGCAUCAGGUCGUAGGUUCGAGCCCUAUACAAUCCA